AUCCAGCUGACGAGUCCCAAAUAGGACGAAAUGCGCAAACUGGCUGGAU
rfam:Trichobilharzia regenti genome assembly, scaffold: TRE_scaffold0007991